AAUUUGCAGCCCGACCUGAGUGGAGCUCUUUUUGUGAGGAGGAACGACGAACAAAAAAGCGGGAACGGAGGGCGGAAAAGCUG
rnacentral:misc_RNA from 1 species